rnacentral:misc_RNA from 1 species
GAUGGAUCUUUUAUCACCCACUGUAUGUAUUGCCAAUUUACUUAAACCUAUUUAUCCCCUUUUGUCAAUUUACACAUGGAAGUCAUUUUUGUGAACUUCAUAAUCCACAAAAGAUCAUGUCAGAUGACUCUCUAAAUUAAGUAGAAAUUGUGCUGUUGAUAUUAGAAGACGCUGUCGAUGCGUUUGGAUAGCUGUGCAUCAACAGUUCAACAUCAGCAUGAUGUGGCUCUGCCAUUAGAUGCUAAACUUUAUUAGCUACAAGGUUGAAAGGGGCAUGUUACUUGCCUGCCUGUUAUUUUCUGAUCAGAUGCCUGCUUGUUAU